rfam:Enterococcus durans ATCC 6056 genomic scaffold acyDB-supercont2.4, whole genome shotgun sequence.
UCUCAUUUAAACAAUGUAUUCCCUAACCACUAAUACAUCCUUGUAACCCUGAAGUUACGCCAGUGGGAUUAAAUUUCAACAAAACAAA